CUCAUUUUCUACCACCAUUUUUUUUCCACCACUCUUUCUUAUCAUCUAUUAUUGUAUAAUAAAAACCAUCAACCAAAUAACUUAAAAAACACUAAAUAAAACCUUCAUAAAUUGUAUUCCACCUUUUUAUUAAUAUUCAAAAUCUGUAAUCAACAAACCCACCACAUGAAAAAAUCUCAAAAUCGAUCGAGCACGCCGAGGUUUAAGCUUUUGUUUGGUUAUCUAUAACGUUUAUGUUUGUUUUGUGUAGAUCUAUAAAACUAUCUUUGUAUGUUUUGUGUAGAUUUAAAAACCCAUCUUUGUUUGUUAUGUGUAGAUCUAAUAAUGAUCAUAAAUAGGCCGAAGAUGCGAGUUUAUUCUUGGUCGAUCCACACUAAAAGAAAUUGUUGGAAUAAGAAGAUUUCAUCUUUGUAGCUGAAAUAUAAAACAAUUGUAUGCAGCGCAGAUAUAAAAGAAUAAAUUUUGAGGUAUUGAUGGAAAGAAGAGAGAUAAAAAGCUAAUAGUCAUUACCGACGGAUUUGGCCGUCGCUAAAGCCCAGUUUUCUAGUAGUGGCGGUUCAAAAACAAAAACAAAAAAAAAUGAAAAAGAAAGGCAACCAAGAAAAUCAGAAUAGUAUAGCAACAUUUAACUGAAGAUAGAAAUUACUUGUUUUUUUUACCAAUCAAUCCAUAAGUCUAGUGGAGUGAUACCCGUUAUCAAUGCAGUUUGAGUCUAUAUGUGAAGUUAAGAGACGUGUGUUCAAUUCUUGGGAUGUCCAUAUCAUGUGAUUAUUAUUAAGUAAAAUAUUUUACUGACA